GUACUGCUGAAGAGUCCUAAACUAGUCUGACGAAACAGCUGUCCAGUAU
rnacentral:hammerhead_ribozyme from 1 species